rnacentral:lncRNA from 1 species
AAAAUAAUUGCCAUGUCAUGCUGUUGAAUUUUAUUGAAUUGGUGGGCUAUAUAUUGGUCGCUACAAUGGACGGGUUUCGUGGACCAGCCUAUUAGAGGGGCACAAUAACCCUAUUAUAUUCAUACGUCAGUAUGAGAGGCGCGGUUGGAUAACUCCUGAGGUUAAAACUUUAGAGUUUACUUCACACCAAAUCACCACGUGAGGGUGAACUCAGCCAACGCCAAGGAACGACUAUGUUUUCAAAAUAAAAACAUGAUUUAUGCGUACAUAACUUUUUAACAGCCUUGGCGGACUCGGUUGGGAUAGCCGUCGGCCAAGGUAUCCCUGAUAACUGAGUAUGAUAAUAAUUUUGUCACGACUCAGUACUCCCCUCGAGCUUGUGAUAAUCACCGCGACGUCUCGAUCGACACUCAUUACCUAGAAUGUCAACUGGAACCCUGUAAGGCUUUAAUAUCAACUUCUCAUUUCCCCUGUGAGUAACUGUUGCCAAAUACCACGUUCUAAAAGAUUUUAAACUGUUUCCAACUUAAAACAAACAAAAUAAUAAUUUUCGUCUCAUAGGGGUAUUUUGGUCAUUUUUUCCUAAAAAUUUCCAAACCAGCUGGAAUGUAAUAUAUAAGCACAAAACACAUAAUUUGAAAUUAAAAAUAAAUUUGGAUGUCUAAAACAUUCAUUUAAAAAGAAAUUAUGACUAUUAGAAUAAAAUUAAAAUAUAGAAUAAAAUAUUUAAUUUUCUAAUAAAACAAUAUUUUUAAGAACACUGCAUAAAUAAUUUUUAUAGCGUAAAAGCAAAAUAAAUUCCUACAUACAAUAGUACAGAUAACCAAAGUAUAAAAUUUAAUUUACAGUGACACGUGGGCCCACGAUGACUAAAAGUAUCAAAAGAAAUGAACCUAUAGUUUUUGGAUGUGGUAAGUCCAACUGUAGUCUUCAUCGAUAUCAGUUAUCUACAAUCUAUUCUGAGCCUAAAAUGGGUGGAAAGGAGGGUGGUGAGAUUAUGAAAUCCCAGUGAGUAAACAAACAUCAUUCAAAAUAUUUAAAGUCGAGCAAAAUGAGACUAUUAAAACAUUUCAUAAAACUGUAAUUUAUCACCUUUCAACUUAUUUCAACCAAAUGAAAUCAAUUUAUUUAAAUCAAGUAAUCAGUAUGGCUUAUGAAUUUCUUAAAAGCUUGGCUCAUGCCAAAAAUUAUUAUCAUACUCAGUUAUUUGGGAUACCUUGGCCGAGGGCUAUCCCAAUUGAGUCUGCCAAGGCUAUUAAAAAGUCAUGUUUUAUUUUGAAAACAUAGUCGUUCCUUGGCAUUGGCCGAGCUCCCUCUCACGUGGUGGUUUGGCGUGAAGUGAACUCUAAAAGUUAUACCUCGGGAGUUACCCUACUCGCCUCUCCAACCGAGGUAAAAUAUAACGGGGUUUACCGUGCCCUUCUAAUAGGCUAGUCCACGAAAAUUCGCCUACUGCAGUAAGCUAAUAAUUAUCCCACCAAUCAAUAAAAGUCAAUAACAUGAUAUGGCAAUUAUUAUAAUUCACAGCCAUUCAAGGCUAAAUACACAUUUCAUAUAUUUCAACACGAAUAUCAAUUCAGCCAUUCAUGCAAAUAUUGUUAUAAGCCAUUUGAUUCAAAUAAUAAAUUUUACAACAUAACAAGUGGUCUCCAAUUACUCUAUUUUUCAAAAUCAUUAUUCAAUUUCAAGACAAUUUAUAAAAUCUUUUCAUGUAAACACAUUUUGUUUGUAAAACACAAAGAUUUACCAUUUAAACUCAUUUUCAUAAAAUUUCACCAAAACCGAUUAAAAACAUACUUUAGAUAAUUAAAAUGAUGGUAAGGUUACUCACAGUACUAGGAGUUCGAUAUACUCCUAUUUUCGGUCUUCGAGCACAAUCUCUUUACCCUUGUUAGAGGGCUCACCACCUAUACAUCAUAAGUGACACGAAUUUCAAUAAAUUGUGUCAAUUUAUCAUAAACUAUUUCAGGCUCUAUAAAUCUGCAUGAAUGCACGAAAUGCGAUGCAAAAUGUCCGAAUAGCCAUUUAAAUACGGUAUUCGAUCUAAUUUGCACUAUUCUCGAUGUAAUUGGCUAAAACCUCCAAUUUAACUCCAAAUCAAUUUCUUUCACUUUCUACACUCCAAUUAUACCUAAAUUACCUCAGUGACUGUGAAUGAGAUUCAAUUUAUCAGUCCCAGGUCAAUAAUCACACAUGUCUAUACAUUAGGUAAAAAUUCAGAUUUUCACACCAAAAUUUCCCAUUUAAUUUCUAGCCUCACCAAACAUCAAAUAUCACCAAAAUAUCAUGAAAUAUCAUCAAUUUCAGCCACAAUAUCCUCCCUAGAAAAUUCGGCCAAUGAUGGUAAUGGGGGAAAAUGAAUUCUUUUCUUGUUGUUUUGUUUCUAAAUAUGCUAAACUAACUAAAAACACUAACAUAACUUAAAAUCAAAUCAAUCCAACAUCUUUCUCUCUCCAUACCCAUUUUGACCAGCCAUGAAUUCACCAUGAAAACAUGAAAUCUAACCAUAAAAAAUAAGGAGAAAUGCAUGGGAAAGGUAGAUCACAAGUCAAAAUCAAGAAAUUUUACCUUUGAUUGCUUGAUUCCUUGAAAUCCACUAAUUUUCCUUUGAAUUUUCCCACUUAGGGUUCUUGUUUUUCUUUUCUCCCUUUGUUAUUCCUUUGCUCUUGGUUUGGCCGGC